rnacentral:rRNA from 1 species
CGGUUGAGGAGGAGUCUAUUUCCUAUUAGCUUGUUGGUGCGGUAACGGCGCACCAAGGCUGUGAUGGGUAGGGGGCCUUAGCGGGUGGCCCUCCACACUGGGACUGAGACACUGCCCAGGUUCCUACGGGAGGCUGCAAUCGAGAAUCCUCCGCAAUGGGCGAAAGCCUGACGGGGUGACGCCGCGUGACCGAUGAAGGCUCUUACGGGUCGUAAAGGUCUUACAGGGAGUAUGAAAUAUACUGGGGCUAAUAUCUCCAGUAUUUGACGUCAAUCUCAAAUGAAGUCACGGCUAAAUUUGUGCCAGCAGCCGCGGUAAGACAAAUGUGGCAAGCGUUGUUCGGAAUCACUGGGCAUAAAGGGCACGUAGGCGGCGUAGUAAGUUAACUGUGAAAUCCCCCGGCUCAACCGGGGAACUGCAGUUAAUACUGCUGUGCUAGAGUGCAGAAGAGGAGAGUGGAAUUCUAGGUGUAGCGGUGGAAUGCGAAGAUAUCUAGGAGAAGGCCGGUGGCGAAAGCGACUCUCUGGUCUGUUACUGACGCUGAGGUGCGAGAGCGCAGGUAGCGAACGGGAUUAGAUACCCCGGUAGUCUGUGCCGUAAACGAUGGGCACUAGAUGGUGGAGGCGCCGAUAGCUUUCUCCGUCGCAGCUAAUACGUUAAGUGCCCCGCCUGGGGAGUAUGGCCGCAAGGUUAAAACUCAAAGGAAUUGACGGGGGCCCACACAAGCGGUGGAGGAUGUGGCUUAAUUCGAGGAUACCCGUAAAACCUUACCGAGGCUUGACAUGCAGGUGGUAGUGAAGUGAAAGCGGAACGACCCGAAUAGGGAGCCUGCACAGGUGCUGCAUGGCUGUCGACAGCUCGUGUCGUGAGAUGUUAGGUUAAGUCCUGUAACGAGCGAAACCCUUGUGCUUAAUUGCCAGCGCGUUAUGGCGGGGACCUUAAGCAGACUGCCCCGGCCAACGGGGAGGAAGGUGGGGAUGACGUCAAGUCAGCAUGGCCUUUAUGCCUCGGGCUGCACACGUCCUACAAUGGGCUGUACAAUGGGGACCCAAACCGCAAGGUGGAGGAAAUCCUAUAAAGCAGUCCUCAGUUCGGAUUGCAGGCUGAAAUUCGCCUGCAUGAAGAUGGAAUCGCUAGUAAUCGCCGGUCAGCAUACGGCGGUGAAUACGU